CCCUUAGAUGUUCUGGGCCGCACGCGCGCUACACUGACGAAUGCAACGAGCUUAUAACCUUGGCCGAAAGGUCUGGGUAAUCUCCAAAUUUCGUCGUGAUGGGGAUAGAUUAUUGCAAUUAUUAAUCUUCAACGAGGAAUGCCUAGUAAGUGCAAGUCAUCAGCUUGCGUUGAUUACGUCCCUGCCCUUUGUACACACCGCCCGUCGCUCCUACCGAUUGAAUGGUCCGGUGAAGCGUUCGGACCGUGGCCUUUGGACGGUUCGCCGUCUGUUGGCUGCGGGAAGUUCGUUAAACCUUAUCAUUUAGAGGAAGGAGAAGUCGUANCA
rnacentral:rRNA from 1 species